rnacentral:tRNA from 1 species
GUGGUUGUAGCUCAGCUGGUUAGAGCACCGGAUUGUGGUUCCGGGGGUCGUGGGUUCAAAUCCCAUCAUCCACC